UACUGAAUUGACGGUCUGCUGCAAUACUAUCUUUACUCUUUUAAACUAAUUUGAAAGAAAUUCUUGUAGCAAGUUAUUUGAUACUGAGUUUCAUGGUGUCAAAUAUUUUAAAAGUUUCAUUGGAUAAAAUGUAUAGUACAAUUUUAACAUAAUUGUGAGAGAAAGGAGAAGCUGGAUGUUCAUGCGGAAGGAGAACGUGCGUUAGAUUGUUCAAUUUCCAGCCUAUUCGACGAUUAGUCAUUAUUUUUUUUACUUUUGAAAACUAGAUUGUGUUACUUGGAGCAAACUAAUAUUGUUCCCAAGAUAUAAUGACAGGUCAGGUCGCGUUUUCGCCUCGUCGAGAAACCGGCCUCUGAAUCUGGGAUCAGUUACCACCAAAUUUUAAGUUUACUACUUGAUUUUUACUUCGCUGUAGAUGGCAGUACAUUGAAGACUAUUUAAAUGAAGGCCGCUAGCUUUUUCUUCAAUCGUGGCUUCACUGGCAAUGAACACGAAUUAAGAAGGAUACCGUUGUAGAAAAGAAAAAGCUGUAAUAAUUCUAGCGUUUUACUGCUUCCAUAAUGUCAUUAGUUCUGUCCGUUUAAUCGCUCUCAGCAUGUUAAGCUUCCUCCACUUAUUCCUUAAGUAGUUUUAGGUUCCAGUAAAAAGCAAAGAUUGACAACGAAAAUCGAGUUUUUGUAGUAUCCUUCAGGCGGCUAAUUACUUAAGUUUCUGGAGAUGUGAACUUUGAUGUAUUAUUUUUCGCCAGGUGGCGCUAGGGUUUGCUGGCUUCUCUACGAAUUAAGACAUUUGUUCUUGGGAUACUGAACGAAGAUGUCCUUUACGGGACCCAAUUUCGAUCUGGAUAUCGAAGAACAUGUAAUUACGUAAUGCAGAGGUUGUCUGAUGUUAUCCACUUCAGACUUUGCUGUCAAUUGUCACUCACCACGCGGUCUGUUAAGUAGAUGUCACCUACUUUGUUCAGUACUUCUAAAGUAAAACAAGCUGCAUUUCAGCUGUGACUGGUGAAGAACCUGUCAACAUAAGGAAUAACCUGUACCAAUUCAACAAUCCAUGCUGUUGCUAUGAAACACUUGUCACAAAGAAUCACAUAAUUUUACUCCAAAGUCCAUUUGUCUGUUGAUUGGACUGAAAGUUUGUUUGUUUGCAGGUAAUUGCUUCUCAUGCCAUUGGAAGUUUUACAGACUGUCCUCUCACAGUUGAAUGGCGUACUUUUGAGACCUACUUUGUUUGCUGAUUGCAUAUGGUAAUGCAGUUCUGUGGUAAGAAUCAGUUGAUAAAUUUAUAGGGAAGAAACUGCUUAUUAUUGUGACUGGUAUUACAUGCCAUUAGGGUUUACUAUUGCUGUAGUUAUUAUGGGGAUUACAUAUGUUUUUGCCAAAAUAUUAUUAGAUCAAAAAGUAGUUCAAGGAUUUAAAAUUCAGGUCAUAGUAAUUGUAAUUCUACGUUGAGGGAAUGGUUUGCAGUAAAAAAUUUCGUUCUAACGUUUAAAAUCGAAUAAUUUGAAAUAUAUGGUUCGUAGGGAAUAGUAUGACUGUUGUUAGCUCCAUGUUUUUAUUAUUGAUUAGAAGAUGCUAUCACGUGAAAGAAACGCCUUGGUUUUUUGGGGGAAAUUGUGUCCUUGUUUUGAUGUCGCAAGUAUACUGUGUGUAAGGGAACAUACCAAGCUAAGCGUAACUUGCAAAAACUUGGUAGAAAUAAAUCGGGCGCGUUAGUUACCUUAGCAACUUUUAAUUAUUAAAAGUGUGAACAUGUUACCUUUAAACUCUUGGUAAAAAUUGAAAUUUAAAAUGUGUGAUUCAUGGCGCGAUGGUAGAGCAUCGAAGCGGUACGCCGAAGGUUUACGUUUCGACUCCCGAAAGAGUCAGGUUACAUUCCAACGAACAUUUCAACUCAGAAAAAGAACUUGUAGUUGAACACAUACUAUGGUGAUUAACCCUACUCGAUUUAUUGUCUUUUAAUAAAAAACCAUUGAAGUAAUUUACAUUAAAAUUUUUUUACAUGUAAUGUAUCAUGGAUACUGAAUUCCAUCACACCUGAAUGGGAUUCGAACCCAAGGUAUACACUAUAUCAGUCCAGUGCUCUACCAUUGAGCUAUGAGAGAUAUUACAUUGAAAUCUAAGUCUUCGUCAGAUUAAGCUAACUGUGCAAAGUUGUACAUACGGGAUCAAAUAUCAAUGGGGGGGAUAUAGGGGGGGUCGCCAGAAAGGUAUCGCAUCCGCCUAGUAACUCCAAGGUUCGUGGUUCGAUUCCCAGUAGGUUCCUAGUGUCCUGGGCUUCCUACCUUCCCAGGUGUCUACCUUCCACGUCGCCAGUCGGGUCGAGAAGCUUCCCCAUUACGAAGUAAUGGGACGAAUAUUUUGGCAAUGUUUAAUAUAAUAUCCAAUAACAAAUUUCAAUAAAUGGUUCAAUUUGAUUUAUCGGAAUCAAUGCGUAGUUUGCUACUUGAACACUUGCAAUGGACUUUAAUCAUUCGCUUCCUCUGCUGAGAGAUCUCAUACAUACUGCCUGAUCAGUAGUAAGAGUUUAUGAGUUUGUAAUAUAUAUACACUCAAUAGGAACUGUUGUUAUCUUCAGUAAUUAUUUCGACUCUUUUAUGAUUUGAACGCUUAUCUUACGGCGUACCAUGCCGAUGCUCUACCACUGAGCCAUAAGACAUAUGGUCUCUUCGUCUAUAUUUUCGCGUUAUUAGAGUACCACAAAUUUGGACUUAGAAAAAUUUUUGUAGAGUGAUUCAAGAUAAUUUCCUGUUUACAUAUUUUCAUGAAAUCUAUUUAAUAAACACAUUUACAAUUAUUAUAUUAACCCUCAUCCGGUAGUUGAACCCGAGACCUUUGGAUCCGCUAAACAACGUUCUACCACAGAGCUAUAAUCCUUGAACUCGAGGUAUCCAGGAUAACAUAUAGUUUUACGAGCUUAUGAAAAUUGCCUUUAUUAUCUUUUAGUGCCAUCUAAUAUUAGUGCAAAAUAAACGUAACUCAUGGCUCAACGGUUGAGCAUCGGCAAUGCACGCCGAAAUAUUGGGGAUCGAUACCCGAAAGAGUUUAAUUAAAAUCUGUGAAAGCAUAUCAAUAUAUCUGAAAAACCGAUAAAUACAAUGAUUGUAAACAAAUUCAUCCUGCAGGCAAAUAAAACUCUCGUAAAUAUGAAAUUCAAGUAUCUACAACAGCAAACUACCUACUCCAGGAUUGGAAUUUCAUCUGCGGUAAUUCAUAUGCGCUCCGGAAUUCUCACUAUACAAACUAAACACCAGUGACAUCUCAGCAGUGUUAAGAGUUCAAUCCUUAAAA